rnacentral:lncRNA from 1 species
UGGCAGGAGACCUCCCCUACAAAGCCCUAUUGACCAGAAGAGUCCCAUUGCGUGGAUUCCAUCCACCAUGAAAGCCUGCCAGAGCGUAUCUGAAAUGAAGCUCCAAACUCCCAAAGGUUUGCAGGAUCGGAGGAGCAACUCAAGUUGGCAUUUGGUUUGCAGUCCCAGAAGUGGAAUUACUGGAUCAACCAGU